UGGGGAAUAUUGGACAAUGGGCGAAAGCCUGAUCCAGCCAUGCGGCGUGUGUGAAGAAGGUCUUCGGAUUGUAAAGCACUUUAAGUUGGGAGGAAGGGCAGUAAGCGAAUACCUUGCUGUUUUGACGUUACCGACAGAAUAAGCACCGGCUAACUCUGUGCCAGCAGCCGCGGUAAUACAGAGGGUGCAAGCGUUAAUCGGAAUUACUGGGCGUAAAGCGCGCGUAGGUGGUUCGUUAAGUUGAAUGUGAAAGCCCCGGGCUCAACCUGGGAACUGCAUCCAAAACUGGCGAGCUAGAGUAGGGCAGAGGGUGGUGGAAUUUCCUGUGUAGCGGUGAAAUGCGUAGAUAUAGGAAGGAACACCAGUGGCGAAGGCGACCACCUGGGCUCAUACUGACACUGAGGUGCGAAAGCGUGGGGAGCAAACAGG
rnacentral:rRNA from 1 species